rnacentral:rRNA from 1 species
CCAAUAGCGUAUAUUAAAGUUGUUGCAGUUAAAAAGCUCGUAGUUGAAUUUUGGGUCUGGCCGGGCGGUCCGCCCUCCGGGUGAGCACUGUUCCGACGCCGGGCCUAUCCUUCUGGUGAGUCGGCAUGUCCUUUGUUGGGUGUGUCGGGGAACCAGGACCAUUACCUUGAAAAAAUUAGAGUGUUCAAAGCGGGCGUAUGCUCGGAUACAUUAGCAUGGAAUAAUGAAAUAGGACGCGUGGUGCUAUUUUGUUGGUUUCUAGAACCGCCGUAAUGAUUAAUAGGGAUAGUUGGGGGCAUUAGUAUUCAAUUGUCAGAGGUGAAAUUCUUGGAUUUAUUGAAGACUAACUUCUGCGAAAGCAUUUGCCAAGGAUGUUUUCAUUAAUCAAGAACGAAAGUUAGGGGAUCGAAGACGAUCAGAUACCGUCGUAGUCUUAACCAUAAACUAUGCCGACUAGGAAUCGGGCGAUGUUAUUCUCAUGACUCGCCCGGCGCCUUAUGGGAAACCAAAGUGUUUGGGUU